GCCUCCGGGGUAGAGGACAUGGCGUGGGAACCUCUUAGAGAAGAAUUUGGGGGCUGAAGACGGCAAGGACCGGUGCGGGGGAAGUAGCUGAGUAGCUAGGCUCUCAGAUGAAAGAAGGGUGCCGUCUUCUCGGCAGAAUGAAACCCUGAAGGGAGAGUAGGGGGUUUAAAUAGCCAGCGGAUCUUAGCGCAGUUAUGGUGGCGGAUGUAUCUGGACCAACUGAUACAUGCCACGUGUCUGGCAUGUCCCCCUUACCGCUAUCGAGGAUU
rnacentral:lncRNA from 1 species